ACCCCCUGAACUUAAGCAUAUCAGUAAGGGGAGGAAAAGAAACUAACUAGGAUUCCGUUAGUAACGGCGAGUGAAAGCGGAUUAGCCCAGCGCCGAAGCCCGCUGCCUCUGGCAGCAGUGCAAUGUGGCGUUUCGGCGGCGUCUCGCCGCGGCUCCUCUGGCGCGCGUACCUCUGAAUGGGUCUGCCCGUAGCGGGUGUCAGGCCUCUGGUCGCCAACUGAGUGAGCUGCGGCACGGCGUCGUCGCGGAGUCGGGUUGCUUGAGAGUGCAGCCCAAAGUGGCUGGUAAGCUCCAGCUAAGGCUAAAUACCUAGGCGGACACCGAUAGCAAACAAGUACCGUGAGGGAAAGUUGCAAAGAACUUUGAAAAGAGAGUUCAAGAGUACGUGAAACUGUUGUGAAGCAAACGGACGGAACUGGGCGAGUUUGCCGUCGUCAUUCAGCCGCGCGCUCCGGCGCGCGGUGCACUUGGCGGCGGCGAAGCGCAGCGACCGACUGGGCGGCCGUCUGAAGCGCCUCGGCAAGGUGGCCACCGCCUCGGCGGUGGUGUUACAGGCCGGGUGCGUGUCGUCGGCUGCUCGGUUGAGGAGCGCCUGCCGCGUGCGCGUCCUUCGGGACGAGCCCGCGGCGUCGGUGGCUGGCGGGCCGCUUCGCCAAACUGCUCGCAGUUUGGUGGGGCGCGCCCCGUCCGUCUGCUGGCGUCGUCGGGUGCACGCGUGGGGUCCGAGCUGCGUGGUUCCCGGCACUCCGUCCGACCCGUCUUGAAACACGGACCAAGGAGUUGACGUUGGGCGCGAGUCGAUGGGCCUCCCGAAACCCAAAGGCGAUAGCGAAAGCGAAUGGUGUGAUCCGGCGUUAACGCGUCGGCGCAACACCGGCCUGCGGCGUGCUCGUUGCUAGCUGCCGCGGAGCAAGAGCGUCCAGCGUCAGACCCGAAAGGUGGUGAACUAUGCUUGAGCAGGGCGAAGCCAGAGGAAACUCUGGUGGAGGCCCGCAGCGAUCCUGACGUGCAAAUCGGUCGUCAAACUUGAGCAUAGGGGCGAAAGACUAAUCGAACCACCUAGUAGCUGGUUUCGGUCGAAGUUUCCCUCAGGAUAGCUGGCACUCGAAUGGUUUUAUCCGGUAAAGCGAAUGAUUAGAGGCAUUGGGGACGAAACGUCCUCAACCUAUUCUCAAACUUUAAAUGGGUAAGAGGCGUCGCCCUUCUUGAUUGGGGCGACGUGCUCGAACAAGUGAGAGCCAAGUGGGCCGUUUUUGGUAAGCAGAACUGGCGCUGUGGGAUGAACCAAACGCUCGGUUAGAGUGCCUAAGCGGACGCUCAUGAGAUACCACAAAAGGUGUUGGUUGAUAUAGACAGCAGGACGGUGGCCAUGGAAGUCGGAAUCCGCUAAGGAGUGUGUAACAACUCACCUGCCGAAUCAACUAGCCCUGAAAAUGGAUGGCGCUGGAGCGUCCCACUCAUACCGAGCCGUCGGGGCAACGCGUGCGAAAUGCCAGGCCCCGACGAGUAGACCGAUGCAUCGGUAGCGUUGAAGCUUUGUGGGCGACCACGGGUGGAGCUGCCUUUGGUACAGAUCUUGGUGGUAGUAGCAAGUAUACAAAUGAGAACUUUGUAGACCGAAGUGGAGAAGGGUUCCAUGUGAACAGCAGUUGGACAUGGGUCAGUCGGCCCUAAGAGAUCGGAGAACUCCGUUCUGAACGGGGAGGAGACGACACGAACGCGCCUGCUCGGCUCGGAGGUGGAAACGCGCGCGGCAGUCGGCGUCUGAAACAAAAUAAGAACAGAAACGGCGUCUGAGAAAUGUUAAGUCAGACGGGAACACAGUCGAUAGAAUGUAACAAGCGCGCCAGACAAAAUAAUGCCGCCGCCUAGUACCGCCGUAGUCGCAGCCGGGCGCGCCAGUGCUCAGCUCUGCCAGCCCCGAUGCGAUCGAAAGGGAAUCGGGUUAAUAUUCCCGAACCUGUCGUUGGAGAUCGGGCCUUCGGGCCCCAGUGCGGUAACGCAACCGAACACGGGGACGCUAGCGUCGAUCCCGGGAAGAGUUCUCUUUUCUUUGUUAGGAGCGGACUCCCUGGAAUUCGAUUGUCGAGAGAUAGGGACGUUGCAUCCGUAAAGCGUAGCGCCUCACGCUGCGUCCGGUGCAUCGGCGCUGGCCCUUGAAAACCCGUGGGAGGCAGAGUAAUUUUCACGACAGGCCGUACCCGAAUCCGCAGCAGGUCUCCAAGGUGAACAGCCUCUGGUCGAUAGAACAAUGUAGGUAAGGGAAGUCGGCAAAUCCGAUCCGUAACUUCGGGACAAGGAUUGGCUCUGAGGUGCGGGCUGCUUCGGGUCGCGGCAAGAAGCGAACGGCGCGCUGGCAGGGCUGCGCGGGCUCCUUCGGGGGCUCGUUCGGACCGACGCCUGCGCGCUCUCGUGGGCGGCCGUGGCUUUCGGCGGCGUUGGCUUCGCGGCCGGCGUCGCCUUCGUUCGGCCUUAACGCACGACACAGAACUGGCACGGA
rnacentral:rRNA from 1 species